rnacentral:rRNA from 1 species
AAACUUUCAACAACGGAUCUCUUGGUUCCGGCAUCGAUGAAGAACGCAGCAAAAUGCGAUAAGUAAUGUGAAUUGCAGAACUCAGUGAAUCAUCGAAUCUUUGAACGCACAUUGCGCCCGCCAGCAUUCUGGCGGUUUUCCCUUCCGGAGCGUCAUUU